rnacentral:tRNA from 1 species
AAGCUUUAAGUUAAAUUAAACUAUUAACCUUCAAAGUUAAAUAUAUACAGUACAAGUGUUUAAGCUUC